AAUGAACGCUGGCGGCGUGCCUAACACAUGCAAGUCGCGCGAGAAAGCCCCUUUCGGGGGGUGAGUAAAGCGGCGCACGGGUGAGUAACGCGUGGGUAACCUGCCCAAGAGAGGGGUAUAACUCGCCGAAAGGCGGGCUAAUCCCGCAUACGUCCAGUGGACACAAGUCCAUUGGGGAAAGAUGGCCUCUGCUUGCAAGCUAUCGCUCUUGGAUGGGCCCGCGUUGGAUUAGCUAGUUGGUGAGGUAAUAGCUCACCAAGGCAACGAUCCAUAGCUGGUUUGAGAGGACGACCAGCCACACUGGAACUGAGACACGGUCCAGACUCCUACGGGUGGCAG
rnacentral:rRNA from 1 species